UGUUGUUAUUCUUUUAGUUGCUUCAGCUCCUUCAUUCUCUUUGUGUGACCAAUUUCUUGUGUUAAAUCACGUCUCCUAUAAUAUCUGCUGUAAUUCCUGUUUUUCUGAUGGGAUCCUGACUGAUAUCAUAGAGCAUCUAACCUGGACUUCUCAGGACAUGAAUCCUACUAACUGCAUCAUGGACUCCAUCAAGAAGCUCACCCAUGAGCCACUAGGAACACCUUAGCAACGGAUCCCCUGAUAUAAGUAACAUGAAGAUAUACAACUCACCAGUAAAGGACCUUGUGCCACAUCUGUGGGUUGCCAGAAGGUGGACUGAUCAUUGAAGACAACUUUUUUCUUCCUUGCUCCCUAUCAAAAUCAGGUGAUCAUCAAAAAAUGGCUGGACUAUCGCUAACAACAACUUCAGCUCUGGGAAACCUUGAAGAAUAAAAGCUAAGGAUUCCAUAAAACACAGCAUUUACUGUAAAGACAUCGUUUUUUGAUGCCCUCUUCUCCUCAAAAUAUAGAAGUGUUUGUCCAGGAACAAAGACUGUCUUACUCAAUCUAAGGCCACAUUUACAUGUCCUUGGGAGAGAAACUUCACAUUUGCAUCCUUGAGUAAUAAAACUGAA